AGAAGAGGUGGGGAGUAAUCUUUAAGUGCCUCACUACAAGAAGUGUACAUCUGGAUCUUCUCACUUCCAUUAAUACAGACUCAUUCCUGAUGGCCUUAAGGAGGUUUGUAGCUCGGCGUGGCACACCAUUUUAAUUAAUCUCAGACCAGGGCACCAAUUUCCGUGGAGGAGAAAGAGAGCUCCAAGAAUCCUUUUCUUCUCUCAGCCCUCAACUACAACAACAGCUGGCCAAACAGAAAAUGUCCUUCCGCUUCAACCCACCAAAUGCUCCACACUUUGGCGGAGCCUGGGAAAGAGAGAUUCGGUCAGUGAAAAAUGCCCUACGCACCACCAUUGGAUCACAGGUUGUGACCGAAGAGGUGCUCCUGACAGUCCUCAUUGAAGUUGAAGGCAUUUUAAACAGUAAGCCACUAGGAUAUACCUCAAGUAACAUAGCUGAUGUUGAUCCUGUUAUGCCUAACUACCUCCUUAUGGGGCGGCCAGAUAGUUCCUUGCCACCAGUGGUCUAUCCAGCCACUGAACUCAUGGGGCGGCGGAGAUGGAGGCAAAGUCAGGUAUUGGCUGAUCAGUUUUGGUCGAGCUUCAUCCAUCACUACUUACCUACACUACAGUCUCGUAACAGGUGGCUUUCUGAGGUUAAGAACAUUUCUACUGGAGAUGUAGUUAUGGUUGUAGAUCCACAGGUCCCAUGUGCCUUGUGGUUAGUGGGCAAAGUUAUGAAAACCUUCCCUGGUUCAGAUGGAUGUAUUAGAGCAGCUGAGAUCCAAAUCAAUGAUAAGAUCUACACCCGACUGGUUGCUCAUUUGAUUCCCCUUCCUUCUUUCUCAGACGAGGAUUUAUCUGUUCAGGACUUGGCCCCUACAAACUGAUUAAGCCUACAAAGGAACAAAUAUGCUUAGCAUAUUUGGGGGCGGCAGUGUUAAGAAGACACAGCCAAUAAGCGCGCUCUCCUCUGCGUGACGUCAGCCAUGCAGCCAGUGUGUGCCCGCUGAAGAGAGAUGAGCAUUAAGUUUCCUGAGGCUGAAACAUUAGCAAAACUUUUUCCAUAAAGUGGACAUUCCCUUUAGUGAGUCAUUGAAAAUACAAAUUGAUUUCAAAGCAGCUCUCCUGAUGUUGCCAUCCUUGUUCAGGGAGAAACUUGAAAAUGUAAUCGUGCUUGAGGAGAAUGAAUCAUCAUCGCCACAUUCAGCUUCAAGAGGUUACUAGAGAUCUGCAGGGCUAGUGGUGUGGAUGAAGGGGCUCUUGCUGCAUUUUGUUCUUACUAUGUCUUCAACCUGGCAUAUCCAUCUCACUUAAAGAAUACUCUGAUGUUUCUUCAGCGGUAUGUUCUGAAACUUGCUUUGGAUGGUGACAAGCUUCUGCCUACUCAUUAACCGCUUAUAAUAACAUCUACCAAAAAUGCCUCACCCAUUCUGUUGUCCAAAAUGUUCUCGGAGAACAUUCACACUUGUUAAAUUUAUCCAACACAUAGCUCUUGUUCAUGCAAAUGAGCACAUUUUUCAGUAAUUAUUUUUCAUACUGUGUGAAAUUUAAGGAAGACUGGACUGUUCUCUGAGGAUUCUGAUUUGAACUUGCGACUCCAGGUGUGGUAGUCAGCGUCUUUACUUGCUGAGCUACCCAGGCCCCCAAUGUAGCCUUUUUAAUAAGCUGUAAUUCAAUAUUAAACAUUGGUUUUUAUUUUCUGUAUGCUUGAGAUUGAAUUUUGAAUGUGACUUUAUGGACUUGGAUGAAUUAUAUUACAAUGUAUGUGUUCUUCACAUUUUAACAUAACUCUUACAAUGUUUUAAUGUUUGUCACUUAAUGCCCAUUUUAAACGACUGCUUUAUAUUGUAUUGUAUUGUAAUGUAUGUAGUGUAUUUGCUGUUUAAUGUAUGUUAUAAUACUUAUUGAUCCACACCUGCUGUUGAAAGAUGUGCAAAGUUAUGAACUUAAUGUAGUUCUU